UCUUGGUUCAGGACGAACGCUGGCGGCGUGCUUCAUACAUGCAAGUCGAACGAGAAGCUGACUUCGGUCAGUGGAAAGUGGCGGACGGGUGAGUAAAAUGUAGAGAAUCUGCCCUUAGCGGGGGACAACAGUUGGAAACGACUGCUAAUACCCCAUAUGAGCGUAGCUGAGAUGCUAUUCUUGAAAACUCCGGUGCUAGAGGAUGAGUCUGCAUCUGAUUAGCUAGUAGGCGGUGUAAUGGACCACCUAGGCGACGAUCAGUAGCUGGUUUGAGAGGAUGAUCAGCCACAAUGGGACUGAGACACGGCCCAUACUCCUACGGGAGGCAGCAGUAGGGAAUUUUGCGCAAUGGGGGAAACCCUGACGCCAGCAACGCCGCGUGAUUGAAGAAGCCCUUCGGGGUGUAAAGAUCUGUCAGUGGGGACGAAACUUGACGGUACCCACAGAGGAAGCAUCGGCUAACUCCGUGCCAGCCGCGGC
rnacentral:rRNA from 1 species